GGCAUUUGCUGGUGGAGUGCAUUUCCCUCUGUAUGUGGCAUUGGUGAGGCUGCACCUCAAGUGUUGUGUCCAGUUCUGGGACCCUCAUGACAAGAAUGACACUGAGGGGCUGGAGCUUGUCCAGAGAAGGGAGAUGGUGAAGGGGCUGGAGCCCCAGGAGCAGCUGAGGGAGCUGGGAAAGGGGCUUAGCCUGGAGAAAAGGAGGCUCAGGAGGGCCCUUCUUACUCUCCACAAUUCCCACAGGAGAAUGCAGCUAGGCGGGACUUGGCCUCUUCUCCCAGGCAGCCAGUGCUAAGACAAGAAGAAACAGCCUCAGUGUGCACCAGGGAAGGUUCAGGUUGGACAUCAGGAGGAAUUUCUUCAUGGAGAGGGUUGUUAAACUUUGGAAUGGACUUCCCAGGGAUGAGAUGGAGUCACAAUCCCCGGAAGCAUUCAAGAAACUUUGGAUGUGACACUGAGUGCUCUGGUUUAGUUGACAAGGUGUUGAUCAAUCAAAGGCUGCACUCGAUGAUCUCAGAGGAUUUUCCAGCCCAAAUGACUCUGUGAUUCUCUGGUCUGUGCACGCAGCAGGGCAGGAAUUGCUGAAGUUUGCCCAGAAGAGUGAUGCAUGGAUGGAGUCAUUGACUAAGAGCAGAUUCUACUGCCCUGAACCUCACAAGUCUCUGAACUUAGAAGUCUCUCCUGCAUUCAGUGUUCCUGUCUACUGUACACUGGUGGUGGAAGACACAGUGUUUUAUCACUAAAGUUAUCAUUUCAUAAAUACAUAAAACACAAAGAUAAAAUACUUACUAAAGGGAAAACAACAUUUUGCUUUGCAGGACACUUCUUAAAGGAAAAAAAAAUUGGGAACUUGUCUGCUGUCUUACAUCCAUGGGAAGAGCCAAGAUUCUCUAAUGAUUUCCUUCUUCAAAAAGCAAAACAAAGAAAGCAAAGCAAUCCCCCAUUGAGGGCUUAUUUUGGGCUGGAAAGUAUGAGAGUAUUUUGGGGACUAAAAGUAGCUGCAGUCUACAUGUUUUGUGGGAUUUCUGGAGUUUGGCAUUCAAGCUGAAGGCACAAAGUGAAUCUAAAAGGAUCUGAUCUGCUGAGACAGUGACACACUUGGAAGUUUUAAGUAAAUAUAGACUAUAAAUUCAACUGGAAAAAGAGAAACAUCACCUGUUUUAGCUGUGACUCUGAUGAGCUGGGUUUCUGUUUGACCUCUCUGAAAACCUGGGUUCUUUCUGCAGAGGUGUCAGGACAUUAGAAGAUGGCUGUGGGGCAGGAGAAGGAAGAGGGAAAUGAAAAAGAGGCAGGUAAUUGCUCAGUAGAAGAUUCUCGUGGGGAAACACAGUACUGCUGGUUCUAAUGUCCAGAACCUUUCUUCUUCUCACUAGGAAAGGGAGGAAAAGGGAGACUCUACAAACUAGAGCCUGUGAAAGAUAGAUAUGAAAGUGACAAGGACAGAAAUAAUGAGAAGGAUUAAGUGAUCUUCAUGACUAGCUCCUUAUCCCAAAGAGUUAGACAUGCAGAAAUGCUUUUCACCACUAUCUGAAAGGUUGUCCCUAUGUCUGAUUCCUCUUAAUGUGAAUCAUUCUUAAUCACAACAUCAGACAUAUAGAAAGAAGAAAAGUUUGACUCUCUCACGUUAUGCAGUACAUAUCAAUAUCAGGGGAAGCUGGGUAUGAAUGAAGCAAAGACAUGCCAUAGCUCUAAAAUUUCCACAAUUGUCACUUGCUGCUUUAGCAUGCCAGUGCUCUGUUUGGAAUAUGGUUUUGGAGUCAUAUUCUUUCUUCUUAGGGGAGAUGGGGGAAUAACAGAAUGCGGACACAGUACUGAACACAAAGAUGGCACAAUCUCAUUUUCUUCCCUGGCAUGAUGUUAAUUUUUAUGGUUAUUAUUUUUUCCAGUCAUGGCUAUUUUUCAGAACCCCUCCUCCCCACACUCCCCUGUCCCUUCCCACCCUCCUUCUGCUUCUCAGAGAUGAGCAACUUUGCCAUCCUUAUUGAGCAAAUAAAUAAAUAAAUAAAUAAAUAAAUUUCUGUGAG
ensembl:lncRNA